rnacentral:rRNA from 1 species
UUUUGCCUACGGGGGGCAGCAGUGGGGAAUAUUGCACAAUGGGGGAAACCCUGAUGCAGCAACGCCGCGUGAGUGAAGAAGUAUUCCGGUAUGUAAAGCUCUAUCAGCAGGGAAGAGAAUGACGGUACCUGACUAAGAAGCCCCGGCUAACUACGUGCCAGCAGCCGCGGUAAUACGUAGGGGGCAAGCGUUAUCCGGAUUUACUGGGUGUAAAGGGAGCGUAGACGGCCAGACAAGUCUGAAGUGAAGAUCCAGCGCUUAACGUUGGAAGUGCUUUGGAAACUGCCGGGCUGGAGUGCAGGAGG